rnacentral:rRNA from 1 species
UACGGAGGGUGCGAGCGUUGUCCGGAAUCAUUGGGCGUAAAGGGCGCGUAGGUGGCCCGGUCAGUCUUUGGUGAAAGCGCGGGGCUCAACCCUGCGUCGGCCAGGGAUACUGCCGCGGCUCGAGCACUGUAGAGGCAGGCGGAAUUCCGGGUGUAGCGGUGGAAUGCGCAGAUAUCAGGAAGAACACCCGUGGCGAAGGCGGUUCUCUGGGACGGUACUGACGCUGAGACGCGAAAGCGUGGGGAGCGAACAGG